rnacentral:misc_RNA from 1 species
UCUUGGUCAUUUAGWGGAAGUAAAAGUCGUAACAAGGUUUCCGUAGGUGAACCUGCGGAAGGAUCAUUAUCGAAACAACAAAGGCAAAGGUUGUUGCUGGUCUUUCGAGACAUGUGCACGCCCGAGCCGUUUCAUCCACACACACCUGUGAACCUAAUGUGGGCUCUCCGUAAAAAGAGGACUCAUGUCUUUACCAACCACGUAUGUCUACGAAUGUAUAGAAUUUGCCUUUCGAGGUAUAAAUGCAUAUAACUUUCAACAACGGAUCUCUUGGCUCUCGCAUCGAUGAAGAACGCAGCGAAAUGCGAUAAGUAAUGUGAAUUGCAGAUUUUCAGUGAAUCAUCGAAUCUUUGAACGCACCUUGCGCUCCUGGAUUUAUCCGAGGAGCAUGCCUGUUUGAGUGUCAUUAUAUUCUCAACUUCCGACGGUUUUUCGGAACCGUCGGUAGCUUGGACUUGGAGCGUGCUGGUCUGUCAAAGGUCGGCUCCUCUCAAAUGCAUCAGCGAAAUUGUGUGGCCCUCUUCGCCCCUCUUUCGGUGUCUCGGUGUGAUAAUAUGUCUCGCCGUCGCCGUUCAGAGAAGGUGGGUUGCUUCGCUCAUAAUCGUCUUCGGACAACAUCAUCAAUCUUGACCUCAAAUCAGGUAAGACUACCCGCUGAACUUAAGCAUAUCAAUAAGCGGARGAAAAGAAACUAACAAGGAUUCCCCUAAUAACUGCGAGUGAAGCGGGAAAAGCUCAAAUUUAAAAUCUGGCAGUCUUUGAUUGUCCGAAUUGUAAUCUGGAGAAGCGUUUUCCGUGUUGGACCGUGUA